AUGGCGAUGGCGCUGUUGAAGGUGUAUGCGGACCGGCUGUCGCAGCCGUCGCGCGCCAUCAUCAUCUUGUGCAAGGUCAACCGGAUCGACUUCCAGGAGCUCACCGUGGAUCUCGCCAAGGGACAACACCGCGCACCAGAAUUCACCAAAAUCAACCCCAUGGCACAGGUCCCAACAAUCGUCGAUGGAAGAUUCAAACUAUUUGAAAGCCAUGCCAUUCUGAGGUAUCUUGCCACCGUCUUCCCCGGGGUUCCAGAUCACUGGUACCCUGCUGACUUAUUUACCAGAGCAAAACUCGAGUCUGUCUUGGAUUGGCAUCACUCUAAUCUGCGCCGUGGUGCAGCAACCUAUGUACUGCACACCGCGUUGGGUCCUGCUCUCGGUCUCACACCGAAUCCUGAAACCGCAAAAGAGGCCGAGAAGUUGCUGUCGCGAUCACUGGGAACGAUCGAAACCGUGUGGCUCAAAGGCGAUGCCAAAUUCUUGAAUGGCAACCCCCAGCCAUCAAUCGCAGACCUCAGCCUCGUGUGCGAGAUAAUGCAGCUGGAGGUUGUUGGUGACGAGAGGCGUGACAGAAUUCUGGGACCUCACGACAAGGUGCGCGCUUGGAUGGAGAAUGUGAAGAAGGCCACCAGCCCUCAUUUUGAUGAGGUCCAUGAGCUCAUCUUCAAACUCAAGGCGCGCUUGAACCCAGUAUCCAAGCUCUGA
rnacentral:rRNA from 1 species